rnacentral:lncRNA from 1 species
UUCUAUCAUACCUCUGAGUUCAAAGCUCAUGCUCGUGGUUCUGAUGUUAAUCUUAACCAGUGCGUCCAAUCAUAAACAACAGUAUCUACAGUCAGGGGACUGAAAGAGAGGACGCCCAAGUAGUUGGUGUAAGUGAUCAAGAAACCAAUAGCCAGACAUAGUCACGUAUCUAAUGAAAUAAACAGGAAAAUGGAGGUAAACCAAAUCAAAUUCAUUAGAUAAAGCCAACCCAUAAUAGGUGGUUACAUCACAGCAACAGAAAUUAAAAACUG